CCAAGGCUUGACAUACACCGGAAACAUCCAGAGAUGGGUGCCCCCUUGUGGUCGGUGUACAGGUGGUGCAUGGCUGUCGUCAGCUCGUGUCGUGAGAUGUUGGGUUAAGUCCCGCAACGAGCGCAACCCUUGUUCUGUGUUGCCAGCAUGCCCUUCGGGGUGAUGGGGACUCGUAAGAGACUGCCGGGGUCAACUCGGAGGAAGAA
rnacentral:rRNA from 1 species